UAUAAGGAUUUUGAGUUUCUGUUUACAACGUUUGACCACUCGUCUUAUUUAAAAUUUUUUGAAAUUAUUAUUUAUUUUAUUUGUGACUUACUUUAUUAUCUAUAAUACUUUAAGCACAACUUUUUAUUUUUUAUAUUUGUAAAAAAAAUUGAAUAAGACGAGUGGUCAAAUGUUGCAAGAAAAAAAAUCAAAAUCACUUAUA
rnacentral:pre_miRNA from 1 species